rnacentral:rRNA from 1 species
UACAGAGGUCUCAAGCGUUGUUCGGAAUCACUGGGCGUAAAGGGUGCGUAGGCGGCGCGGAAAGUCAGGGGUGAAAUCCCGGAGCUCAACUCCGGAACUGCCUUUGAUACUCCCGCGCUUGAGUGCUGGAGAGGAGUCCGGAAUUCACGGUGGAGCAGUGAAAUGCGCAGAUAUCAGGAGGAACACCGAUGGCGAAGGCAGCUCACUGGGACGGUACUGACGCUGAGACGCGAAAGCGCGGGGAGCAAACAGG